rnacentral:misc_RNA from 1 species
AGAAUCAAUGCCUCAAAAGAGCAACGAAGGAUAGAAGAAGUGAAGAUGCAACAAUGGAACUGGACACUGGUAGAAAGAACCCUGCUCCAGUAUCCAUAGAAGGAGCAGGAGCAGCAGCAGUCUGCGCAGAUGCAUAAGUAGCUGCCAGGAAGAUGCUGGCCAUACAGGCGACAACAAAGGUGUUGAAGCUUCUAAUUUGAGCCAUUCUAGUGAAGGAUAAGAAGAGUGCUUGAAAUGAAUUGAGCUGUGAUAUGUAAGCAAGAAUGC